rnacentral:rRNA from 1 species
GAUGAACGCUAGCGGCAGGCUUAACACAUGCAAGUCGAGGGGCGAGCACGGGUAGCAAUACCUGGUGGCGACCGGCGCAAGGGUGCGUAACGCGUGAGCAACAUGCCCUAUACAGGGGGAUAAUCCAGGGAAACUUGGUCUAAUAUCCCAUAGUAUUUAGAGGAGGCAUCUUCUAUAAAUUAAAGCUUCGGUGGUAUAGGAUUGGCUCGCGUGACAUUAGCUAGAUGGUGAGGUAACGGCUCACCAUGGCAAUGAUGUCUAGGGGUUCUGAGAGGAAGGCCCCCCAACUGGGACUGAGACACGGCCCAGACUCCUACGGGAGGCAGCAGUGAGGAAUAUUGGACAAUGGAUGGAAAUCUGAUCCAGCCAUGCCGCGUGCAGGAAGACAGCCCUAUGGGUUUAAACUGCUUUUAAUGGGAGCAAUAAGGUCUACGUGUAGACUGAUGAGAGUACCAUAUGAAUAAGC